AUGAUCGUUCUUCUCUUCCCUAGGGAGAGAAAGAGGGAGAGGGCGCCAUCUGAGUGGU
rnacentral:snoRNA from 1 species